rnacentral:rRNA from 1 species
AAUACGUUCCCGGACCUUGUACACACCGCCCGUCAAGCCAUGGAAGCUGGGUGUACCUAAAGUCGGUAACCGCAAGGAGCCGCCUAGGGAGUGGCCGGCGAUUGGGGUG